AAUAGAUACCCGGGUAGUCCAUGCCGUAAACGUUGGGCACUAGGUGUGGGGCUCAUUCCACGAGUUCCGUGCCGCAGCAAACGCAUUAAGUGCCCCGCCUGGGGAGUACGGCCGCAAGGCUAAAACUCAAAGGAAUUGACGGGGGCCCGCACAAGCGGCGGAGCAUGCGGAUUAAUUCGAUGCAACGCGAAGAACCUUACCAAGGCUUGACAUGCACGGGAAGCCACCAGAGAUGGUGGUCUCUUUGGACACUCGUGCACAGGUGGUGCAUGGUUGUCGUCAGCUCGUGUCGUGAGAUGUUGGGUUAAGUCCCGCAACGAGCGCAACCCUCGUCCCAUGUUGCCAGCGGGUUAUGCCGGGGACUCAUGGGAGACUGCCGGGGUCAACUCGGAGGAAGGUGGGGAUGACGUCAAAUCAUCAUGCCCCUUAUGUCUUGGGCUUCACGCAUGCUACAAUGGCCGGUACAAAGGGCUGCGAUGCCGUAAGGUGGAGCGAAUCCCAAAAAGCCGGUCUCAGUUCGGAUUGGGGU
rnacentral:rRNA from 1 species